AGAGUUUGAUCCUGGCUCAGGAUGAACGCUGGCGGCGUGCUUAACACAUGCAAGUCGAACGAAGCACUUUAUUUGAUUUCCUUCGGGACUGAUUAUUUUGUGACUGAGUGGCGGACGGGUGAGUAACGCGUGGGUAACCUGCCUUGUACAGGGGGAUAACAGUUGGAAACGGCUGCUAAUACCGCAUAAGCGCACGGCAUCGCAUGAUGCAGUGUGAAAAACUCCGGUGGUAUAAGAUGGACCCGCGUUGGAUUAGCUAGUUGGUGAGGUAACGGCCCACCAAGGCGACGAUCCAUAGCCGACCUGAGAGGGUGACCGGCCACAUUGGGACUGAGACACGGCCCAAACUCCUACGGGAGGCAGCAGUGGGGAAUAUUGCACAAUGGGCGAAAGCCUGAUGCAGCGACGCCGCGUGAGCGAAGAAGUAUUUCGGUAUGUAAAGCUCUAUCAGCAGGGAAGAUAAUGACGGUACCUGACUAAGAAGCACCGGCUAAAUACGUGCCAGCAGCCGCGGUAAUACGUAUGGUGCAAGCGUUAUCCGGAUUUACUGGGUGUAAAGGGAGCGCAGGCGGUGCGGCAAGUCUGAUGUGAAAGCCCGGGGCUCAACCCCGGUACUGCAUUGGAAACUGUCGUACUAGAGUGUCGGAGGGGUAAGCGGAAUUCCUAGUGUAGCGGUGAAAUGCGUAGAUAUUAGGAGGAACACCAGUGGCGAAGGCGGCUUACUGGACGAUAACUGACGCUGAGGCUCGAAAGCGUGGGGAGCAAACAGGAUUAGAUACCCUGGUAGUCCACGCCGUAAACGAUGAAUACUAGGUGUUGGAGGAUUGACCCCUUCAGUGCCGCAGUUAACACAAUAAGUAAUCCACCUAGGGAGUACGACCGCAAGGUUGAAACUCAAAGGAAUUGACGGGGGCCCGCACAAGCAGUGGAGUAUGUGGUUUAAUUCGACGCAACGCGAAGAACCUUACCAAGUCUUGACAUCCCUUGACAGACAUAGAAAUAUGUAAUCUCUUCGGAGCAAGGAGACAGGUGGUGCAUGGUUGUCGUCAGCUCGUGUCGUGAGAUGUUGGGUUAAGUCCCGCAACGAGCGCAACCCUUAUGGUCAGUUACUACGCAAGAGGACUCUGGCCAGACUGCCGUUGACAAAACGGAGGAAGGUGGGGAUGACGUCAAAUCAUCAUGCCCUUUAUGACUUGGGCUACACACGUACUACAAUGGCGUUAAACAAAGAGAAGCAAGACCGCGAGGUGGAGCAAAACUCAGAAACAACGUCCCAGUUCGGACUGCAGGCUGCAACUCGCCUGCACGAAGUCGGAAUUGCUAGUAAUCGUGGAUCAGCAUGCCACGGUGAAUACGUUCCCGGGCCUUGUACACACCGCCCGUCACACCAUGAGAGCCGGGGGGACCCGAAGUCGGUAGUCUAACCGCAAGGAGGACGCCGCCGAAGGUAAAACUGGUGAUUGGGGUGAAGUCGUAACAAGGUA
rnacentral:rRNA from 1 species